CCUACGGGAGGCAGCAGUGGGGAAUCUUAGACAAUGGGGGAAACCCUGAUCUAGCCAUGCCGCGUGAGUGACGAAGGCCCUAGGGUCGUAAAGCUCUUUCGCCAGGGAUGAUAAUGACAGUACCUGGUAAAGAAACCCCGGCUAACUCCGUGCCAGCAGCCGCGGUAAUACGGAGGGGGUUAGCGUUGUUCGGAAUUACUGGGCGUAAAGCGCACGUAGGCGGAUUGGAAAGUUGGGGGUGAAAUCCCAGGGCUCAACCCUGGAACUGCCUCCAAAACUAACAGUCUAGAGUUCGAGAGAGGUGAGUGGAAUUCCGAGUGUAGAGGUGAAAUUCGUAGAUAUUCGGAGGAACACCAGUGGCGAAGGCGGCUCACUGGCUCGAUACUGACGCUGAGGUGCGAAAGUGUGGGGAGCAAACAGGAUUAGAUACCCUGGUAGUCCACACCGUAAACGAUGAAUGCCAGACGUCGGGCAGUAUACUGUUCGGUGUCACACCUAACGGAUAAGCAUCCGCCUG
rnacentral:rRNA from 1 species